GACGGUAUCGGCGAUAAAAGAAGCACUAUGUCAAGGACGCCUGGAUAAUCGUGCUUGCUAUUCCUGUCUAGGAGACGGGAGAGAUAGGAAUCGUUUUCCUUUCGCGUGCUCAGUGAACGCUAUCGUGAGAGAUCUUUUUUCGCAUAUUCAUUUUCAUGCUUUCCCGAGUAACCUAAAUAAUAACAAUAAUUUUUAAUGAUUUUAAUAUUUCGACGUGUUAAGUUUUUGAAUAUACAUUAUAUAUGUACGUAUUUUUAUAUAGACAAGACUAUGUGCGGCAUAGUCAAGAGAGCGAGAUUACUCCGAAAAGACUUUAGCUCGAAGGCGAAGGUGCGUCGUAUACGAAGCGAGACAGAAAACCGGUCGGGCGCAAUAAAGUUCGCGUUUUAAUUCCGCGGCGCUCGGUGCGGUGUAAGUGAAUUUAAAAGGCGCGCCUUAUACCUGCAUUUACUGCGCAGUAAAACAGCGCGCCGAGCCUCUAAUAGUGCGCAUCCGCCGACUAAAGUUUCCAAGCGCCAACGUUCGUACCAUGGGGCACUUAGAGGAACGCUAGCAACCGUGAAAGUACCCCAAUCAGCCGAUAGGAUAUCUAUUAAGGUGCACGAUGCAAAGGACGAUCGUUCGAAAGGAGGAAGGAUCUUGUAGCAUUGAAUCGUAGUCGAAGUCAGGUUCAUCGGGCCGUAACAACGUGGCGAUCGUUCCCGUUGCACAUACUUUCCGCAGCUACUACUAUGCUGACGUACCUAACAAAUAAGGGGACGCGAUGACAUUAAAGAAAAUAACAAACUCACGAGAGGAAAUAUCCGUCAUUCGUUAUCCUUUAUUUACGUAUCGCUGAAUUCAAAACAACGAAGCAACGAGAUGAGUCGUAAGACAAGAGAGUUGUUGCCGUUCACGACACAUAACGGAAUUACCUAUUCUCCAUGACGAUAAUUAAUUCGAUAAAGACUCGACUUCGAAUGCCAAGGGAUUGCGGCGGUACAUAGCUAACAGUCAAUUAGGGACAACCGCAACGAAUCAAUCGACGGUCGAAGGUAGGUAGAAGUGGUAAGGGGUAAAGGAGAAGUAGGAGAAUCAAGAUCGAGAACUCGAUGUUCGUGGGGUCGAUGCUAAUUCCUCGGGUCGACAUCGUGCCCAUGCUCGCGUUCGCCCAUUGGUCCAUACCGGUGGCGGCCCCUUUUGUUCUUUUCACUCAAGAACCGACGAUAUAUGUGGAGCAACCUGGCGACGAUCGUGAUAUGCCAGCCGGCGCCCACGCUCCUGGGCAACUUUAAAAGCGUUAUGCCACCUUCGCCGCUAAACCUUCUGGCCCUGACCUGCCUCGAUCUCUCCCCUACCUUCUCGUAAAGCUACGCCCUCUUAUAUUUUCCGCCUUACCGCUUACCGCCCUUCACGUUCUCCAUCGUAACUCUAUAAUCUAUUAUAUGUGAUAUAUGGUCGAACGAGCGCUACUAUUUGGAGAAUCCAUUCUACGUUAGAGCACGACUAUGAUUCUGUAUAACGAGCACGUGCAAAAGGUGGUACGAUUUAAAUAAGGGAGGAGCAUCGUUUUGGUCCUCGAUGAUCAAGUUGUAUGACAUGUAACGAGACGCAGGUACAUAGGUACGUAUGUAUAUAAACGUAAGAUAGACCUGCCCAUAUUGCGCAUUACGCCCGAACUCCCACGCUCGAAAAGAUUGCUAAGCAUCGAUUCGACGAAUGGCGUUUCAUUCACGGUAAGGCCCACCUCCACUUUCAGCGACGACAGUCGUAGUACGUUGCAACAGGCAAGAAAAGAAGGCCCGAUGGCUGACGAUUGCAUUCGCCAUCCACUGCAAUCUCUCUCCCACUACGAUCAACCUGUCCUCCUACUCUAAUGCCGCUUGUUGGGCCACCUCUUUCCGGGAAGAAACAUCAUCGUCGACCAUUGGAUGCUACGAAAAUCGAGCUACCGAUUGGCCAACAGCCGGUCGUACCUCGUUUAGAAAUCUUGUGACUUUGCGCGAAGAACGCAAGAUUUUAUCUUACGCGAUACGUCCCGAAUGCAGAUUGACUCGGUCUCGUUGUGAAUUCAAAUACGACAGUACAUUUUAUCCUAGAUAUAAAGAACACACACGUUACGUAAGUUAUGUAAAUUUCUCUUCUUCAUUUGAAUGUAAUUGGACGAUUUGAUUGCGUAUUACUAGAUAUUAUAACGUGUACGAAUCUACGAUUAAACUUUUUCAUCUCGGAAAUAUACCUCACGUUAAAUUGUUUGGAUUUAAAAUCGAAGACAGCAAUAUAUAAUUAUGUCAGGUUGAUAGACCGUUGAAAUUUAUAAUAUCUACGAGUAGAUGGAACUUUAAUGGGGUCUUUUCGUGUUCGUUGAACAUUAGUUCUUGUCAAUUAAACUAACGUUAGAUAAAGCAAUUGACCCCGACGAUCAGAGGGCUUACGAAAAUACUAUAAUCAACGUUGCAAUCCAUUUGUCUAUUCUAGAAAACGCAGAAGUAACCUUUUGUUUGAUCGUUAUUAUGAUACAUUUUGUAAAAUCGAAAGGAGGAAAGAUAUCUGUGCGUGCGAGCACAGCACAUGCACGGUAUAUGCACGAAGGUGUCGCUUUUCAUUGCGGUCAAGCUAAAGUUAUUCGAGGUACGAGGAAGUAUUGAAGUCGAAGUCGACAAGCAGGGAGAUCGAUAGGAACGAACAGGAUUGAUGAGGAGAAAGGUGGUGAGCCGUUGAGCCAAGAGCAGCGUGCCGGUGAACGAGGAACGUCCGCGAAAAAGAACAGGAAUAGGAAUGUCGGUUAAUUUGUAACCACGUUUAUCUAGCACGAUACCAGUGCGUACAUUUUUCUUUCUUGCACUCCAUAAGCAGUCGCACAUGCAUACAUAGGCACGCGCGCGAGAAAGAAAGAAAGAAAGAGAGGGAGAGAGAGAGAGAGAAUGAUAAAGAACGAUUACGCGCGAAACGACUUCGAUCAUAUGUAGGUGGUAACUCGAAAAGUUCCUCGUAAUAUCAUUGACUGUGUUCUAAUCGCGAAGCGUUUGUAGUGGAAACAAAAUUAUUACCGAUAAACAAAUUUUCAAUCGAAAAGAAAAAUUAAGAGAUAUAAGAAGUAUACGAUAACGAAAGACAAUAAAAUGUUUCUCAGAACGUAACCGGUAUUUUUUAAAAACGAUAAAAUAUUUUCCGGUUUUACCGAUCUCAUUCUUAAAAACCGGUGAGAGAUCGGUUAAGCUAGAUUCUUCUUGCGUGUACGAAAUAGCGCCUUUUUAUGGCACGUUUCUUUAGACAGCAGCAAUACUUCUAGUUCCUAUUUGAGCAGAGCUUAAGAUAGA